rnacentral:lncRNA from 1 species
CACACACACACACACACACACACACACACACACACACACACACACACACACAGCCUCAUAGGUUCAUACACACACACAGCCUCAUAGGUUCAUACACACACACAGCCUCAUAGGUUCACACAGUGUAAGUAAGCUACUCCCCGAGCCCAGAUAGGAUUUAGUUAUUAAAAAUGAGUAGUACUACUGUUGAGUAAAAGUUAGACAGUGUUAAUGUGACUACUGACUAAGGCUUCUCAUACUGAACUUGAAGGAUCCCUCACACAGAGGACAAAACAGAAAAGAUGUCCGAUAAAACUGCAGUUCCUCACAAUAAAAUGACAGCUCUUAAGAUUGUUAAAAUAGAAUGAAGACCAGCUCUAUAUAUGACAUUAAAACAAAAUGUUUUGAGCUGAUUGGAACUCUGGAUCCAAUUCAUUAAGACAGGCCUUUGAAGGCGUUAGAAAAGUCCCCUUUAUCAAUAUGUUCUCUGGGCUGGCUCAGUCCAGUCCAACCUGCAUUGAGUAAUAUGUGGAUUCAAGCUUCAGGUAGAUAGCUGUGAGGAAAGGCUCUCUUUUCUUUCUCUGACUCCCCAGUAAACAUGAACCCAUUGGCCCCAUGUGGGUAUUCGGUGGGCAAGGUGGGCUAGCCCACACCAACCCCACACCAACCCAACACAGGCUAGCCCACACCAACCCCACACCAACCCAACACAGGCUAGCCCACACCAACCCCACACCAACCCAACACAGGCUAGCCCACACCAACCCCACACCAACCCAACACAGGCUAGCCCACACCAACCCCACACAGGCUAGCCCACACCAACCCCACACCAAUCCAACACAGGCUAGCCCACACCACACCAACCCCACACCAACCCAACACAGGCUAGCCCACACCAACCCCACACAGGCUAGCACACACCAACCCCAAACCAAUCCAACACAGGCUAGCCCACACCAACCCCACACCAACCCAACACAGGCUAGCCCACACCAACCCCACACCAACCCCACACCAACCCCACACAGGCUAGCACACACCAACCCCAAACCAAUCCAACACAGGCUAGCCCACACCAACCCCACACCAACCCAACACAGGCUAGCCCACACCAACCCCACACAGGCUAGCCCACACCAACCCCAAACCAAUCCAACACAGGCUAGCCCACACCAACCCAACACAGGGUAGUCUACAUCAACACAACACAGGCCAGCCCACACCAACCCAACACAGGCUAGCCCACACCAACCCCACACCAACCCAACACAGGCUAGCCCACACCAACCCAACACAGGCUAGCCCACACCAACCCAACACAGGCUAGCCCACACCAACACAACACUGGCCAGGCCACACCAACACAGGCUUGCCCACACCAACCCAACACAGGCUAGCCCACACCAAUCCCACACCAACCCAACACAGGCUAGCCCACACCAACCCAACACAGGCUAGCCCACACCAAUCCCACACCAACCCAACACAGGCUAGCCCACACCAACCCAACACAGGCUAGCCCACACCAACACAACACUGGCCAGGCCACACCAACACAGGCCAGCCCACACCAACCCAACACAGGCUAGCCCACACCAAUCCCACACCAACCCAACACAGGCUAGCACAAUCCCACACCAACCCAACACAGGCUAGCCCACACCAACCCCACACCAACCCAACACAGGCUAGCCCACACCAACCCAACACAGGCUAGCCCACACCAACCCAACACAGGCUAGCCCACACCAACACAACACUGGCCAGGCCACACCAACACAGGCUUGCCCACACCAACACAACACAGGCUUGCCCACACCAUCCCAACACAGGGUAGCCCACACCAACACAACACGGCAAGGUCACACCAACCCAACACAGGGUAGCCCACACCAACCCAACACAGGGUAGCCCACACCAACACAACACGGGCAAGGUCACACCAACACAACACGGGCAAGGUCACACCAACACAACACGGGCAAGGUCACACAAACACAACACGGGCAAGGUCACACCAACACAACACGGGCAAGGUCACACCAACACAACACGGGCAAGGUCACACCAACACAACACGGGCAAGGUCACACCAACACAACACGGGCAAGGUCACACCAAGCCCAGCUAGAGGCGGGGGCUCAUUAGAAUAUUUGGGGGCGUGGUUUACACACAGUUGUUUUUGUGCAGCCGUUACUGAGAGUGUGGUUCCUGUUGAAGUGUGGUUCCUGUUGAAGUGUGGUUCCUGUUGAAGUGUGGUUCCUGUUGAAGUGUUCUGUGUUGUGCUGCCUAUAUCCUGAUGAUCUUGUAAACGGCUAAUGAUCAAGUCUUUAGAAACACUUAUAUAAAUGUUUCUCUUGUUAAAUAUAUUCUGUAUGUAUGAUGGUAAUAACUUGGUUGUCUUUCUGAAAAAAUUGUAUCACGUUCCAUAAAUACCUGUAAGAGUAGAAAAUUAUGCAAUUUAUGCAUUGAAUUAAGUUUAAAUAAAUAAAUAUUAAAUAGCGAAGGCGCAUCAGCCCAAUGUGGGCAGCUUACAAGGGGUCAAUAUUUUAGCCUGCAUUGGGUUCAAAUCGUGACAAUUUGGACAUGUUUGCUGGGAAAAGAAGGGUGUAUUUCAGACAAAGUGACAGCUGCCUCACCAGAUCUGGGCUGCCCACACUGAGCCACACUGGGCAAAUGCCUUGGGGGCCAAUGUGGAGCCGAUGAGCAAAGGCGCAUCGGCCCAAUGUGGGCAGCCUAGAUGGGGCCAAUAUUUUAGCCCGAAUUGGGCCCACAUCGAGACAAUGUGGACAUGUUUGCUGGGGCUAAAACCUACAAUCUCUAGUUCCUUGUAAUUUUAUCGCUCUCUCCACGGUGCCGUGAGAAAACAAUAUAGUCCAAAUCUCCCAAUCUCCUUAAUGUUGUUCUAAUCUAAUGGAUCAUACACACACCUAAUGUCUCACAUUGGGCAUAUUAAGCAGAUUGCCUGCGUUAAACUACUGCUGUCAGAGCAGCAUGACAGACAUUACCAGCACUUAAG